rnacentral:lncRNA from 1 species
UAACGGAUAAUGAAGAGGCAACUGAUGAGCGUCAGCUGGGAUAGAAUCCUGCUGUGGUGCCUGAUAUUUUCGAAAGUAGCUCUGACGAUGACGGCGAUUUUAGAGUGCAAUAAUGUUAGAAAUAAAUGAUGUGCGGAAAAAAAUGAGUACCAAAAAAGAAAAAAAAAUCAUACAUCCACAUUUAUAGACGUGCUAAUGGGAAUCCGCUACAUAUAAAAAAC